UACGGAGGGGGCUAGCGUUGUUCGGAAUUACUGGGCUUAAAGCGCACGUAGGCGGCUUUGUAAGUUAGAGGUGAAAGUCUGGAGCUCAACUCCAGAAUUGCCUUUAAGACUGCAUCGCUUGAAUCCAGGAGAGGUGAGUGGAAUUCCGAGUGUAGAGGUGAAAUUCUUAGAUAUUCGGAAGAACACCAGUGGCGAAGGCGGCUCACUGGACUGGUAUUGACGCUGAUGUGCGAAAGCGUGGGGAGCAAACAGG
rnacentral:rRNA from 1 species